GUAGCGAAAGUAGCCAUGUUUUACUCUGGCAGUGGGUAACCUUCGUUGUUUUAACUUGAUUUUCAAAUUUUCUCCGUUUUGAAAAUUUGAAUUUAUCACAAUGUCUCGUCAAUCGACUGUUCGUGCCGACAAUAGAAAAGUGAGUGCAGAGCUGUUUGUCCUGACACACGGAGCACUUGUAGCACAGCUGGUUAAAGACUAUGAGAGUGAUGAAGAAGUGAACAAGCAGCUUGACAAAAUGGGUUAUAAUAUUGGCGUGCGAUUAGUAGAGGACUUCUUGGCAAGAUCCAAUGUUGGAAGGUGUCAUGACUUUCGAGAAACUGCCGAUGUUAUUGCCAAGUUGGGAUUUAAAAUGUUCUUGGGUAUUUCACCAGUGGUAACAAAUUGGAGUGCAGCAUCAGAUGAAUUUUCCUUAAUACUAGACAACAAUCCCAUGGCAGAGUUUGCUGAGUUGCCAGAAGGACAUGAAGGACUUCUUUUCUCCAACAUACUGUGUGGUGUCCUGAGGGGAGCCCUUGAAAUGGUACAAAUGGAAGUUGAUGUUUGGUUUGUUCAUGAUUCGUUAAGAGGCGACGAGACAACAGAAAUUAGACUCAAGUUUAUAAAGAAGUUAGAAGAUGCUCUCCCCGCUGGCGAGGACUAAUACUACAUUUAUACCAUGUAUAACACUCUGUAUAGGAGAUAUUUUAAACGAAAAACUCAAACAACGAUUGUCUGCUACUGAAAUGUUAUGCAAUCCUACAUUUAUUAGUAGGCUUUGCGUGUUGAACCAAUGUCGAGUUGAUCGUUGAAAUAUCGAGAAGUUUUUGGAAAACCGAAGGAACUGAAGUCGUCAUUUACUUAUGACUUGAUGAGCUAUUUUGGUGUUUAAUUGUAAACUAUGUUUAUCACUCAACAUUCAAUACAUCAGAAAACAUCUCAUUUCUCCUUUAAAACACGUAAAAAAUUCUUUGAUGAAAUAGAUGAAGGAAUACUUGGGUUAUUUUAAAUUAUUGUGGUUAAAUAUAAAUGUUCUUUUAGAAAUCAACUUAUUGUUGUGAGCAGACGAGGAAAAAAAAACACUCUAGAAACAACUCGUUAAGGCCUCUUAGGCGCUUUCUAGUAGUGAAGAAUUUUCCACGACGUCACUAUUGCGUGCUGUAAUACAUAUGACAUUAAAUUUUAAAUAGCUUUGCAGGAUA
rnacentral:misc_RNA from 1 species